GACGAACGCUGGCGGCGUGCUUAACACAUGCAAGUCGAACGGAAAGGCCCUGCUUUUGUGGGGUGCUCGAGUGGCGAACGGGUGAGUAACACGUGAGUAACCUGCCCUUGACUUUGGGAUAACUUCAGGAAACUGGGGCUAAUACCGGAUAGGAGCUCCUGCUGCAUGGUGGGGGUUGGAAAGUUUCGGCGGUUGGGGAUGGACUCGCGGCUUAUCAGCUUGUUGGUGGGGUAGUGGCUUACCAAGGCUUUGACGGGUAGCCGGCCUGAGAGGGUGACCGGCCACAUUGGGACUGCGGUACGGCCCAGACUCCUACGGGAGGCAGCAGUGGGGAAUAUUGCACAAUGGGCGGAAGCCUGAUGCAGCAACGCCGCGUGCGGGAUGCCGGCCUUCGGGUUGUAAACCGCUUUCGCCUGUGACGAAGCGUGAGUGACGGUAAUGGGUAAAGAAGCACCGGCUAACUACGUG
rnacentral:rRNA from 1 species